rnacentral:lncRNA from 1 species
CGCAACAGUGGGCAGGGCUUCCUCGCUCGGGUGUGAGCUAGGAGGCAACUACUCCUGUCUUGUGAUGCUGCGGAGCUUAGUUCUCCUGUAUGCCAACGGGCGCUGCUGGGCACCUAGAGAACAGAGACGGUUGCAGAUGAGGCAGGCGAUCGCGGGCUUUAGGGGUACCCUCUGUGGAGCAGAGGGGUCCUGGAAGCUCCUAAAAAAGAGUCAGGCUGGUGGUAUCACCAGCCUAAAUGACUUUGCCUGGUUCCUACAAGGUAUCCUCAUCUGAGAUCUCACUUGGAGGAAGGAGGAUCAGGGCAUCAGUAUCAGCCUCUGCUACAGAGUGAGCUGGAGCCCUUGGACUAGGUGAGACUUUCUCGAAACAAAGCGAGCACUCAUGUUCUCCUCUCCCCUGGCCUCAGUUUCUGUCACCAUGGGAUGAUGAUUUUCUAUUUGCCUCAUCCUCUUCUCCU